GGGGAAGGUCUUUCCCAUGCUGUUCUCAUGAUAGUGAAUAAGUCUCAUCUGAUGGUUUUAUAAAGGGGAGUUCCCUUACACAAGCUCUCUCGCCUGCCGCCACGCAAGACAUGACUCUUUGCUCCUCAUUCGCCUUCAGCCAUGAUUGUGAGGCCUUCCCAGCCAUGUGAAACUCUCGGGAGCCCUCUUGUCUGGAAAGGCUCUUCCCUGCUGGUGCCUCCAGGCUGGGCUGGUUGUUGCUCCUCUAUGCUCCCGAGGUCCUCAGUGCCUGCCUUUAUCAGAACAGAGGCCACAGCGCACCUUGGUUAAAUGUACAGUCUCUGGGACCAGACUGCCUGGACUCACAACUCUGGCUCCGCCAUUUACAGGUGAGUCACAUAACCUCUCGGUGCCCCCACUUCCUUGCCUGCAAAGUAUCAUUUACCACAACUACUCAUUGGAUUGGUGUGAGGGUUCAAUGAGAAAAAUCUAUGAGAAGUGCUAAGAAUAGUACCCGCCAUCAAUUAAAUUCUAUUUGUGCCUAUAAAAAUAACAUUUGUUGUAUGUAAUGAAAUUGUGUUUACUUGUGUGUCUCCACCAUCAGGCUAAGACAUCCUCAAGUCUAAGGACCUUGGUGUUUUCAUCCCAGAGCCCCACACCUUGCAAGUGUCCAGAGCAUAGUCAUUGGAUGAUGCUGUUUCCCACUUACCCUCUGGUUUGACAUGGCUGCAGGAUUGGCAUAUGGAAACUGACUGGGUUGAGAAGAGACUCAAAUAGGGACAGACUGGAGAUGUAGGCUUAGAAAGGAGAGAUUUCCUGAAGCUUUAAUGCUGUGCAAUAGAAAUAUACAGCAUCAACUUCCUUAUACAACUAGGCGGGUCAGCAGGUCACCUGUGGCGGACCCAGGGAGGAUGUCCUCACACCGAACAGGUGAGCUUGGCUCGGAGCAUGGCCAGGAGCCAGCCCAUAGCCACAUGCCACCACUUUCUGGCCUUCACUGUGUUUGCCUUAGUGUCCUCGUCUGUAAAACAGGACUAAUGGCAUCUACCUCACAAGGCUGAUGUUAGAACUUUGUGAGGAAACAGUUUUCAAAAGCUUAGAACAGUGUCUGGCAUGUCCUCAAUUGGCAAGAAAUGUCAGCUCCUCUUGGUGUGAUGAUCACCAAACCCACUUUUUUUUACAAACAGAGUGGGGAGACACCACGUCAUUUUCAUUCUUGUUUCAGGAUCUUGGGAAUUUCUGUUUGUCCAUUUAUGCAUUUGUUUUUGUCUUUAUUUAUUUAUUUAGAGUUCUGGUGGAGAUAAUUUGUUAGCAGGUUUUCUGUUGGAAGGUGCAAGCCUUCUUCCCUAGCCUCAAUAAGUGUGUCCCUGUAGGCAGAGGGGGGCAAUAUAGCUUCUCAAUCUUCGAAGACUUCCUAAGGACAACAUCACUCUCAGGUUGGAAAUUCUCCGAAAUCCCAGCUUCCAGCAACCCACAGUCAAGUAUUCCUAGGGAUAUGAGAGGGUUUUGUUCGCAGUCACAGAACACGUAUAAAUGGGGAUAAACUCAAAUGGUUUGUUGUUUUGGUUAAAGUCAAUAAAAGGGAAGAAGAACAAGGAAAUCAAAUACGGGUCCAGUGGGACCAUCCUCAGUGUAAUAACAGCCUUUCCCAUUAGCUUUCUAAGCAACUUUUAGGCUGCUGAUUUGCCGCAGAAAGACUUUUUAAAAAUGCUUUAGUUUCAUACAUGGAAAGAAGCCCUCAGGGUGAAUUGCUGGCUGCCCUACAUUAGAGGCCUAGCAGUAAGAACCAUUAGCUCUAAAGAGAGGUUAAUUACGAGGAGAACUCCCUGGCCUAAGCUGAGGGAGUUACAGUGAUUCCCAGUGAGAGGCUAAUCAGGAGGCAGCGUUGGGUGGCAACAGCCCUCUCCUGGACAAGGGCUUAAUGGGAGUGUCUAAUACCAUUUGCAGUGUUUGGGUUUAUGUGGGGACCAGGGGUCCUUUUGUGUUUGGGUUCAUUAGCUUCAGGGAUUAUUGCCUAUGGGGAUUCACUAACAAGUAGCAGGGGAAGGCGGGAAGAGGCAAGAUGAGCUGGAGAGAUUCAGCAAGACCUCUUAUUCUAUAAAAUUAAGAUCUUGAUGAAACCCCAGACUUUGUCCAGGGCUGGCUCCUUGGUCUAUCUGGAUUGGCAAAUAGGUGUAGACAACAUAUUACAGGAUCUUACACCCCAUGUCAUCUAUUCCAGAUGAUUCUGCAAUCAGCUGUGCCUUAAAACAUGUUCAUGAAAGCUACUCUUGAUUUCCAAGAAACUGCAUGAGAUUUCGUUUAGAAGCCCUUGAAAACAAAGUUUGUAUUUUGUCAAGAAAAGUUUGUUUAGAGCCAGCAACACAAUUUCCAACCCAUUCACCACCCUCCACCAACAUUCUGAGGGCAAAUAGGAAUCCAGGAUGUGCAAAAUUUAGGAACUUUUCUCCAAAAGAGAAAAGUUUUCUCCAAAAGAGACAAAAUAUAUAUAAGCAUCAGAUUCCACAGUUACUAACUGAGCACCUACUAUGUGCUUGACACUGUGCAGAGUACUUUGCUUUGCUCCACGAUUCCCACAAUGCUCAUUACUCCACGGGACAGGGGUAUGGUUAUCAGUUCUGCAGAUGGUGAGACUGAGGCCUACAGACUCACAAAAGGCCACACAAUGAGAGCAGAGCCAGCCUCUGUCUUCCAGUCCUUUAACUUUGGUCAUUUUUCCUGUCCUCUGCCCUGCCUCAACAGAAUAACCCAAAUAGUUACCUGUAAUGGAAAUUAGAACCAUUGUAACAAGUAUUCACAAGUAUUUAGCUUAAGGGAAGAAAUGUUAAAAUGUCUCUCCCUGUGGGUUACUGAGUGUGACACCCCCUGACCUCACCCACCCUCUACAAGUGGGGGCCAGGAGCCCUGUUGUGUGUUGUUGUUGUUUGUCUUCCCAACUUUGGAGUGAAUAAGUAUGCAGAUAAACCCUGUGACAAAUAUCAGGUAAAUCUGAAGUGGCUGUGUGUGUUGACAUUUCAUUUUUAUUAUGUUUUCAAUAUCUGCGAAAAUUUUCAAUAAAUAAAUUUUUCUUAUGACACCUUCAAAUUGAAUUAUAUUUUAAGAAUAUCUACUUCGCUGUGCUGGCACUGGAUGAAAUUCUACCAUUUUGAACUUCUGCUCUUCAUGCCCAUGUGACAAUUAAGGUAAUUAUAUAACAUCUUACUGAAUGAUGAUCUUGUCACAGGUUAAUAAAAAUUAAUGUAUUUCUAUUCUUCACUCUUUAGUUUCUUAUCAACAUUCAGCUUAAGCAUUUUUAGCUUUUAAAUAUUGUACAUUUGGCAAUGUCUAUAAGACAUUUCCACUUGAGUUCAGCCAAGGCGGUAUGCAAAUGAGGAGCUGACACUGUUCUGUAAGUCAGCAGAAUGCGGUGGGUAACAGUCUGGUUUCUGGAGCCAGCUUGCCUGAGUUUGGUUCCUGGUAUACCAUCAUUUCUGCUGUUGAUCUUGGGCAAGUUACUGCACCCAGCUCCAUCUUAUGUUCUCUGUAAAAAUAAGAUUAAACAUGCCCCUGCCCCACUUGGUUCCUGUAAAACCAUUAUUUAUGGAAAGUGUUUAGAACGAUGCCUGGAAUAUAGUAACUCUAUAUAACUAAUUGCUGUUAUUAUCAUUAUGUAGGAAAAACAAUGAAUAAGACCUAAAAAAUUUGGAAGGCAGCUACUGGGACAUCAGGAAUCAGGACUUGUGUAUGCUGGGCCUCACCACCAUGACCUUCCAGAACUGAAGAACUUGCAGUACUAAAGCACUUAAUGAUUACCUUAGUCCAUCUGUGCUGCCAUCACAAAAUGCCACAGAUGGAGUAAUUGAUCAAGAACACAACUUUAUUUCUUGCAGUUCUGGAGGCUAGGGAAUCCAAAACCAAGCUUCCUGGCAUUGGCGUCUAGUGAGGGCUGCCCUCUGCUUUCAAGGCGGCGCCUUGUUGCUGUGUCUUCACAUAGCAGAUGGAAGGGCAAGAGGGCUGAACACUGUAUGAAGCCUCUUUUAUAAGGGCCCUAAUCUGAUUCAUUAGAUCUCCACUCUCAUGACUUAAUCACCUCCUAAAGGCCCCCUCUUAACACUGUCACAUUGGUGAUUAAGUUUCAACAUAUGAAUUUUGGAGGGGACACAAACAUUCAAGCCAUAGCAGUGAUAUAGUCAUGACUCUUCUCCCCUAACUCACCUCUCAGGCCUGUAAUGUUCAUGCUUUUUUCAGUCUAUUAAAUAAAUCAGCUCGUAGUUCACAAAAUAUAGGCAAACAAUCUUAAGAUGUGAAAGUAUAAAUAAGUAGCCACUUAGCAAAAAGUUUGAUUCUCGUAGGCAGAAUUUAUGGGAUGUGUUAAGCAUAAGAUAAGCAGAUAGCAAGUAGAACGUGUGUGUUAUACCGAGAUUGAGUAGGAUGAAAGGACCGAGAAAUAGCUAAUAUUUAUGAUGCAGUUGAGUAUUAAAUAUUUGUAACGUACUAGAUAGACAUUUAGACAUAAGGCUAAACACCAAGAGGUACCAAAUAGACAUGAGCAUUUUAUAUACAUGAUCUCCUAAUUUGGCAACCUAUUGGCUAUAUCUUUCUGGUCCAAUGUGUCCUCUGCCUCCAAAAACAAAUAGAACUUAUGGCUGCUCAUCUUGCUAACUGGCAAGCUAUAGCUGUCACCAGGCAUACUUGUCCUUAUAUCUCUAGUAGAACAGGGAUGUGAUAUCAACCCAGCAAAUCCAUCCCUAUCUAUCUAUAUCAGGGAUUCCCAAGGCCACCCUCAUAUUCAAUGAUUUUCUGGAAGGACUCACAAAAAUCAGAAAAGCAGUUAUACUCAUGAUUACAGUUGAUUAUAGCAAAGGCUAUAGAUGAAACUUGGCAAAGGAAAAUACGCAAAGGGUGGAGUCCAGGAAAGACAAAGUCCAAGCUUCUAGUUGUCCUCUCCCAAUGGGGUUGUAUGAACAACACUUAAUUCUCCCAGAAAUGAUGUGUGAUACUACAUACAAAGUACUGCCAACCAGGAAGUUUAACCAUGCUUUAAACUUGGUGUCCUGGGUUCUUACUGGAGUUUAGCCACAUAGGCAUAGAGUGCCCAUGUAGCUUAUCUUAGCUACUCAAACCCUAGGCCCCCGCUGCCCCCUAGAGGUCAAACUGAUAGCAUAUGGCCCAAGUCUACCACCUAAAUCACAUUUUUAGCAUAAACUAUCUGGUAUGGCCCAGGGCACUGGGCAAACGGUAGCACUCUUAUCAGUAAGGAUAUUCCAAAGGCUCAGGAAUUAUCUCCCUGAACUAGUCCAAGGGCCAGUCCUUUCUUUGGGAUGUACAGGUUUGAACACCCCAGACCCACUGAGUUAACCCUUUCCUGCACAGUGGGGUCCUUCCACUCCACUUGUGUCUGAUCCUAAGUGCAUUAACUUACCCCGUCUCUCUCCUCUUGCGUCUCACUUUGUGUUUUAAAUUGACUUAAUAACUUUGCUAUUUGCAAAUUUUAAUCUGCCUUUUAAUGAGCCCUUCUGGGAUAGCUUGCUUGAUAGUGUAUUUGUAGACUAUCAUUUCAGACUAUCAUUUCAUGUACUUUGAGCUAACUUCUCACCAGACAUGUCCAGCCUUCAUCAUUUGCUUUACCCACCCAUCAUUAGGUGGGUAAAGAGAGGUGGUAUAUUAGUGUGCUUUUCCUGAGCUAUGCCAUGGAGGCAAACAAUACCAAUGCUUACAGUGACCAUGGUUAUAAAUUAGGAAUCUGUACAACCUACCACAGUGGGAUAGAGAGGAGGAGAAAGCUAAAAAAGCAGAUUUUUGAGAGUAUUAUUAUAGGCUUGGUCUUGUUCAUUGCUUCUGGGCACUGCUGACCACAAUUUGCCUACAAGUCACAUUUAGUGAAUGCCCACUACAGACCAGGCACCAUGCUAACCACUCUAGAUGAAUUAGCUUAUCCUCACAAAAACCUAUGAAGUAGGUAUUAUUUAUAUCUUCACCAUUUUAUAGAUGGGUAGAUGGAGGUACAAAGGAACUUUGAGCUUGUGUGCUUUGUCAACAGUGGAGCCAGAAUUCAAAGGCUGGUGACAAAGUUCACACUCUUAACCACUCUGCUAGGCUGUUUGGGCUCUCUCAUUGGUUUGUCUCGGCUACCUGGCAUACAGUAGACAUAACUCUUUUAACUAUGAGUGACAGAAACUCAACUCAAAAUGACUUAAUUGAAAAGGAAUACUUAACUCCACAAGCUUGAAAAUUUCCAGAGCUAGAACUGAAACAGUUGGAUCCAGGAGCUCAAUCAGGAAGUCUGGAUUUGACUGCCCUCUUGCCAUCUCUCAGUUCUGUCUCUUCUUAUUGGGUCUCACUUUUCUCUCGUGGCUGUUGGCAACUCGAAGCUGACAUUCCCAAAGUUUGGCAAUCCCAGCUCUAUGAGAGACAUUCUCUUCCCCAAGAAUUCUAACCACAAACCAAGGAGUUGGAGUGGCUUUGGUUUCCCUAAUCAAUCCAGUCACUGGGGUAGAGCAGUGGCCUGGUGUGGGUGAUGUGUCCAUUCUUGGUGCUAGGUGCUGUGGUCAAUCCCACUUGAACCACAUGGAUUUAACAUGAAAGAGAACAUUGGCCCAAAGGAAGAGGAAACAGCUCCAGGCAGGCAAAAAUAAUCAAUCCUCUUAUUGGGUUCAGAAAAUAUAUGAAUAUUGGAAGAUGGAUGAAUAGAUGGAUGGAUGGGUGGCUGAGUGGAUGAAUGGAUGGAUGGAUGGAUGGAUGGAUGGGUAGACAGAUGCGUAUAUGGGUAAAUGAAUGCAAAAGGUAAUGCCCAAGACAAGGGCCUCUAUGAUGAGAAACGCAUAAGAAAAAUACUUCUUAUGCACCCAAACAGUAAGAGGAGUCAAGGUUAGGUUAAGUCAGUCAAGGUUAAAGAAACUUUGCUUCUCUUCCACAAAAAGAGACACCAGGAUAUUUGGGGGAAAUGGUAGAGAAAGACUAUUGAAAAAAGGUAUAUGAAACAAAGAAUGAGAACAUGAGGAGGAAUUUCUCUAAUGGAGACAAUCACAGUUUUAAUAGGACAUCUGCUUCGAGCAGUAUGAGUUUCUGGGUGCUGCUAUUGUUGGUAUAUCUCUUUUUCUUGGUGCAGUAACUAGGCUACAGUUGUCAUGGGCAAUUACAGCCCAGUGUGCAAAGUCACACAUCCCAUCUGGAGAGACCGGUCACCUCAACUGGCACAAGCCAGCAGGAUCCUCAGGAAAUAUGAGCUCACUCCACAGGGCUUCACAGAUUCUCUUUAACUUCCUAACUCAAACUGUUCCUUUAGGUUGCUCUCUAGUUUUCAGCCUUGUUUGUGUCCCCUUAAAGCUGCCAUUUGGAAAGCUGAAUUUUCAGAAUGGGAUUUGGCAAGGCAAAUGGAGCCUCAGUUGGGAGAGACUAUCUGUCCUGCAGAGAAGGUUAUGAAAAAGGACAGGAUGGUGGAUUCCAGCAGCAGGUUUAGAGAAAGAAAAAAAGAGCGAUGUACAUACUCACAUACAUAAGCAUCUUGAACUGCUUUUAUGCAGAGCUUGGGUUCAGCAAGUCCUUAGCAUAUUUCAGCCCAAAACCCUUGUCUUAUUUUAUUUUUCACCCUACGAUAUGUUUCAGAAAAAAAUGUAAUCUGCAUCUUUCUAGUUCUUCUGACUUCAAUUUUGUCCUUCAAAUUUAUUAGCCCAUCUUUUAAACUCAUACAGCUAUUCUUAUAUAACAACUCCACUCUUCUAUAGCUAAGUAGAUGUUUAUGUCUUUUGUGUUUAUGUCAGGGAUUUGUUGUGAGAAAGUAGGGGGAAGGUUGCUUCCAAGAAUUUGAAAUUUCUUUUUCAACCCAGAAGUUUCUAAGAGUCACGAGCAUCUGCUCUGCUAGUCUAGAGGGCUCAAGUCUAGGGCGCCUUUUGAGGUAUGAUGCUUCAUUCCUUGGGCUCUGAUGUGGGACUGAGUUUGCUUGCAAUCUAGGACCUAAUAUCCUAACUAUUUCCUUCAGCAUCAGGACUGGUUAUGCCCAUCUCAAGCCAACUUAGGGUUAAAUGUAAGAAAACGUUUUCAUUGUAGAAUGCAAUUUGCCAACCAAAACUUAUGCCAAAACUGAAAUCUGAAGGGAGAGAGAACAAAAUGGGGUCACUUUUACGAACUUUUGCCAACCUGGCUGGGCUAAAUGCAGCACAAAGCAAGAGAACUGGUUUUCUAACUGCACCUCGGGCAAGCACAGUGACAGAAGUCCUUUAGGAACCACACAUCACCUGCAAGACAUGGAGAAAGUGGAGAUUCAGCAAGGAGCUGGAUUCUUUGCACAGAUAAUUUCAAACUUGUCCUUUCCCUGCUCUUUCAACUGGUGAGAUACUCUGCAAGAUUUUCUGCCUCAUCCUAUUUUGUUGCCAACCUAUCUCCACUCAAUCCAGUUUUGCCCAGAUAUAAUUAAUGGCAACAAGAGCUUUCCAGCCUACAAAAUUAAUGUGGAAAUGGCUGAAACAGUGUCUUGAUGGCAGAAGGAAGAAACAUUUCCUUAUAAUUUGCCAUGCAAACAAUCCGCUACAUCCGUAACUGUGCCUUUUCACAUGCAAAUGAAGGAGCCAACCUGAUAUAUGAUCUUAAUUGGGCCUCUUUAGGAAAGGAAGUCACAUCUGAACUUGGCUUCAGGAACUUCUACCCGCAUUCACCUUAGUACAUAAGGUCAAAUGAAUAUUUUUUAAAUGAAUGCCUCACUGUAUUUCUUUCCCUGCCUCCCUAGGCUAUUUCAUUCAGAUUCAAAUCUCAUAGUCCAGGCAUUAAUACUGACAAUUCAUCUGACUGUUUAACAAAAAAGGGAGAUAAUUUCUUACAUACAGAAACAGAUAAGCCACUUCCUCAGAUUUGAUGAAUUUAAAUGCCUAACUUCAUCUUAGAAAGAAUAAAGCCAGUAAUAGUGAGAGGAAGUCAGAAGUGGGCAGGGCAGACCAGGUAGGCCCUUAUAAGCCUUGCUAAGACUUUGGAUUGGAGGGUUGAAAGCGGGACAUGACAUGAUUUGAAUUAAUAUUUCCUCUUUUUAUUUUAUUAUUAUUUUUUAUAAAGUUAGGAUUCAAAUUCUAUUUAGGAUGCUAUUUUAAAAAGAGAAAAUGCAAGACCUGAGAGAACCAGAAAUCACCAGUCAGGAGCUGCCAUAUUAUUUUCAAAUAUUCUCCUCUAAAAGUGGAACUGCCCACACAACACGAGCAUACUCAUUGGUCUUGCCACACAAGGAAGAAUUUGUGAGAAAAGUCAAAAUUCAGUUUAUAACAUUCUUUCUCCAUAAAUGAUCAGAGGAUAUCAACUUUUUCUUUAUGAUAUGACUUAGGCUAAGAACUGUGAUCCUGGAUGAAACUUAGCUUCCUUGGCCUCCCUGGCUUCUGCCUAUUGUCAGGCCUCUGAGCCCAAGCCAAGCCAUCGCAUCCCCUGUGACUUGCACGUAUGCCCCCAGAUGGCCUGAAGUAACUGAAGAAUCACAAAAGAAGUAAAAAGGCCCUGCCCCACCUUAACUGAUGACAUUCCACCAUUGUGAUUUGUUCCUGCCCCACCUUAACUGAGUGAUUAACCCUGUGAAUUUCCUUCUCCUGGCUCAGAAGCUCCCCCACUGAGCACCUUGUGACCCCCCGCCCCUGCCCACCAGAGAACAACCCCCUUUGACUGUAAUUUUCCAUUACCUUCCCAAAUCCUAUAAAACGGCCCCACCCCUAUCUCCCUUCGCUGACUCUCUUUUUGGACUCAGCCCACCUGCACCCAGGUGAAACAACCAGCCAUGUUGCUCACACAAAGCCUGUUUGGUGGUCUCUUCACACAGACGCGCAUGAAAUUUGGUGGAUCAGGGGACCUCCCUUGGGAGAUCAAUCCCCUGUCCUCCUGCUCUUUGCUCCAUGAGAAAGCUCCACCUACCACCUCAGGUCCUCAGACUGACCAGCCCAAGAAACAUCUCACCAAUUUCAAAUCCGGUAAGUGGCCUCUUUUUACUCUCUUCUCCAACCUCCCUCACUAUCCCUCAACCUCUUUCUCCUUUCAAUCUUGGUGCCACACUUCAAUCUCUCCCUUCUCUUAAUUUCAAUUCCUUUCAUUUUCUGGUAGAGACAAAGAAGACACGUUUUAUCCGUGGACCCAAAACUCCAGCACUGGUCAUGGACUGGGAAGACAGACUUCCCUUGGUGUUUAAUCAUUGCAGAGACACCUCUCUGAUUAUUCACCCACAUUUCAAAGGUGUCAGACCACAUAGGGAGGCCUGCCUUGGUCCUCCACCCUUAGCGGCAAGUCCCGCUUUUCUGGGGGAGGGGCAAGUAUCCCAACCCCUUCUCUCCAUGUCUCUACCCCUUCUCUGCUUUUCUGGGGGAGGGGCAAGUACCCCUCAACCCCUUCUCCUUCACCCUUAGCGGCAAGUCCUGCUUUUCUGGGGGAGGGGCAAGUACCCCAACCCCUUCUUCAGUGUCUCUACCCCUUCUCUGCUUUUCUGGGGGAGGGGCAAGUACCCCUCAACCCCUUCUCCUUCACCUUUAGUGGCAAGUCCCGCUUUUCUAGGGGGCAAGAACCCCCAAUCCCUUAUUUCUGUACCCCAACCUCUUAUCUCUGUGCCCCAAUCCCUUAUUUCCAUGCCCCACCCCCCCUUCCCACUUUUCUGGAGGGUAAGAACCCCCAAAACCCUUCCCUCCGUGUCUCUACACCCUCUUUUCUCUGGGUUUGCCUCCUUCACUAUGGGCAACCUUCCAUCCUCCAUUCCUCCUUCUUCUCCCUUAGCCUGUGUUCUCAAGAACUUAAAACCUCUUCAACUCACACCUGACCUAAAACCUAAAUGCCUUAUUUUCUUCUGCAAUGACGCUUAACCCCAAUACAAACUCGACAUAGUUCCAAAUAGCCAGAAAACGGCACUUUCAAUUUUUCCAUCCUACAAGAUCUAAAUAAUUCUUGUCGUAAAAUGGGCAAAUGGCCUGAGGUGCCUGACGUCCAGGCAUUCUUUUACACAUCAGUCCCUUCCUAGUCUCUGUGCCCAGUGCAACUCAUCCCAAAUCUUCCUUCUUUCCCUCCCGCCUGUCCCCUCAGUCCCAACCCCAAGCAUCGCUGAGUCUUUCUAAUCUUCCUUUUCUACAGACCCAUCUGACCUCUCCCCUCCUCGCCAGGCCGAGCUAGGUCCCAAUUCUUCCUCAGCCUCCGCUCCUCUACCCUAUAAUCUUUUUAUCGCCUCCCCUCCUCACACCUGGUCCGGCUUACAGUUUCGUUCCGUGACUAGCCCUCCCCCACCUGCCCAGCAAUUUAUUCUUAAAAAGGUGGCUGGAGCCAAAGGCAUAGUCAAGGUUAAUGCUCCUUUUUCUUUAUCCCAAAUCAGAAGCGUUUAGGCUGUUUUUCAUCAAAUAUAAAAAUCCAGCCCAGUUCACGGCUCGUUUGGCAGCAACCCUGAGACGCUUUACAGCCCUAGACCCUAAAAGGUCAAAAGGCCAUCUUAUUCUCAAUAUACAUUUUACUACCCAAUCUGCUCUGGACAUUAAACUCCAAAAAUUAGAAUCUGGCCCCCAAACCCCACAACAGGGCUUAAAUAACCUCACCUUCAAGGUGUACAAUAAUAGAAAAAAGUUGCAAUUCCUUGCCUCCACUGUGAGACAAACCCCAGCCACAUCUCCAGCACACAAGAACUUCCAAACGCCUGAACCGCAGCGGCCAGGCGUUCCUCCAGAACCUCCUCCCCCAGGAGCUUGCUACAUGUGCCGGAAAUCUGGCCACUGGGCCAAGGAAUGCCCGCAGCCUGGGAUUCCUCCUAAGCCAUGUCCCAUCUGUGUGGGACCCCACUGAAAAUCGGACUGUUCAACUCACCUGGCAGCCACUCCCAGAGCCCCUGGAACUCUGGCCCAAGGCUCUCUGACUGACUCCUUCCCAGAUCUUCUCAGCUUAGCGGCUGAAGACUGACACUGCCUGAUCGCCUCGGAAGCCCCCUAGACCAUCAAGGACGCCGAGCUUCAGGUAACUCUCACAGUGGAAGGUAAGCCCAUCCCCUUCUUAAUCAAUACGGAGGCUACCCACUCCACAUUACCUUCUUUUCAAUGGCCUGUUUCCCUUGCCUCCAUAACUGUUGUGGGUAUUGAUGGCCAGGCUUCUAAACCUCUUAAAACUCCCCAGCUCUGGUGCCAACUUAGAUAAUACUCUUUUAAGCAUUCCUUUUUAGUUAUCCCCACCUGCCCUGUUCCCUUAUUAGGCUGAGACACUUUAACUAAAUUAUCUGCUUCCCUGACUAUUCCUGGACUACAGCUAUAUCUCAUUGCCGCCCUUCUCCCCAAUCCAAAGCCUCCUUUGCGUCCUCCUCUUGUAUUCCCCCACCUUAACCCUCAAGUAUAAGAUACCUCUACUCCCUCCUUGGCGACCGAUCAUGCACCCCUUACCAUCUCAUUAAAACCUAAUCACCCUUACCCUGCUCAAUGUCAGGAUCCCAUCCCACAGCAUGCUUUAAAAGGAUUAAAGCCUGUUAUCACUCACCUGCUAUAGCAUGGCCUUUUAAAGCCUAUAAACUCUCCUUACAAUUCCCCCAUUUUACCUGUCUAAAACCAGACAAGCCUUACAAGUUAGUUCAGGAUCUGCGCCUUAUCAACCAAAUUGUUUUGCCUAUCCACCCCAUGGUGCCAAACCCAUAUACUCUCCUAUCCUCAAUACCUCCCUCUACUACCCAUUAUUCUGUUCUGGAUCUCAAACAUGCUUUUUUUUACUAUUCCUUUGCACCCUUCAUCCCAGCCUCUCUUUGCUUUCACUUAGACUGACCCUGACACCAGUUAGGCUCAGCAAAUUACCUGGGCUGUACUGCUGCAAGGCUUCACAGACAGCCCCCAUUACUUCAAUCAAGCCAAAAUUUCAUCCUCAUCUGUUACCUAUCUCAGCAUAAUUCUCAUAAAAACACAUGUGCUCUCCCUGCUGAUCGUGUCCGAUUAAUCUCCCAAACCUCAAUCCCUUACAAAGCAACUCCUUUCCUUCCUAGGCAUGGUUAGCGCGGUCAGAAUUCUUACACAAGAGCCAGGACCGCACCCUGUAGCCUUUCUGUCCAAACAACUUGACCUUACUGUUUUAGCCUAGCCCUCAUGUCUGCGUGGAGCGGCUGCCGCUGCUUUAAUAUUUUUUGAGGCCCUAAAAAUCACAAACUAUACUCAACUCACUCUCUACAUUUCUCAUAACUUCCAAAAUCUAUUUUCUUCCUCAUACCUGACGCAUGUACUUUCUGCUCCCCGGCUCCUUCAGCUGUACUCACUCUUUGUUAAGUCCCACAAUUACCAUUGUUCCUGGCCCGGACUUCAAUCUGGCCUCCCGCAUUAUUCCUGAUACCACACCUGACCCCCAUGACUGUAUCUCUCUGAUCCACCUGACAUUCACCCCAUUUCCCCAUAUUUCCUUCUUUCCUGUUCCUCACCCUGAUCACGCUUGAUUUAUUGAUGGCAGUUCCACCAGGCCUAAUCGCCACACACCAGCAAAGGCAGGCUAUGCUAUAGUACAAGCCACUAGCCCGCCUCUUAAAACCUCUCAUUUUCUUUCCAUCAUAGAAAUCUAUCCUCAAGGAAAUAACUUCUCAGUGUUCCAUCUGCUAUUCUACUACUCCUGAAGGAUUAUUCAGGCCCCCUCCCUUCCCUACACAUCAAGCUCGAGGAUUUGCCCCCGCCCAGUACUGGCAAAUUAGCUUUACUCAACAUGCCCCGAGUCACAAAAACUAAAAUACCUCUUAGUCUAAGUAGACACUUUCACUAGAUAAGUAGAGGCCUUUCCUACAGGGUCUGAGAAGGCCACCACAGUCAUUUCUUCCCUUCUGUCAGACAUAAUUCCUCAGUUUAGCCUUCCCACCUCUAUACAGUCUGAUAACAGACCAGCCUUUAUUAGUCAAAUCAGCCAAGCAUUUUUUCAGGCUCUUAGUAUUCAGUGACAGACUAAUGGUCUAUUAAAAACACACUUCACCAAGCUCAGCCACCAACUUAAAAAGGACUGGACAAUACUUUUACCACUUUCCCUUCUCAGAAGUCAGACCUGUCCUCAGAAUCCUACAAGGUACAGCCCAUUUAAGCUCCUGUAUAUACGCUCCUUUUUAUUAGGCCCCAGUCUCAUUCCAGACACCAGACCAACUUAGACUGUGCCCCAAAAAACUUGUCAUCCCUACUAUCUUCUGUCUAGUCAUACUCCUAUUCUCCGUUCUCAACUACUCAUACAUGCCCUGCUCUUGUUUACACUGCCAGUUUACACUGUUUCUCCAAGCCAUCACAGCUGAUAUCUCCUUGUGCUAUCCCCAAACUGCCACUCUUAACUCUUGAAGUAAAUAAAUAAUCUUUGCUGGCAGGACUAUGCUGAAUCUCCUUAGGCACUCUAAUCAGAUGUCCUAGGUCCUCCCAAUUCUUAGACCUUUUCCAUUUAGUUUUUCAAUUCAUACAAAACAUAUCCAGGCCAUCACCAAUCAUUCUACACGACAAAUGUUUCUUCUAACAACCCCACAAUAUCACCCCUUACCACAAGAUCUUCCAUUCAGCUUAAUCUCUCCCACUCUAGGUUCCCACGCCGCCCCUAAUCCCGCUUGAAGCAGCCCUGAGAAACAUCGCCCAUUCUCUCUCCAUACCACCCCCCAAAAAUUUUUGCCGCCCCAACACUUCAACACUAUUUUGUUUUAUUUUUCUUAUUAAUAUAAGAAGGCAGGAAUGUCUGGCCUCUGAGCCCAAGCCAAGCCAUCACGUCCCCUGUGACUUGCACCUAUAUGCCCAGAUGGCCUGAAGUAACUGAAGAAUCACAAAAGAAGUGAAAAGGCCCUGCCCCGCCUUAACUGAUGACAUUCCACCAUUGUGAUUUGUUCCUGCCCCACCUUAACUGAGUGAUUAACCCUGUGAAUUUCUUUCUCCUGGCUCAGAAGCUCCCCCACUGAGCACCUUGUGACCCCCCCCCACCUCCCCUGCCCACCAGAGAACAACCCCCUUUGACUGUAAUUUUCCAUUACCUUCCCAAAUCCUAUAAAACGGCCCCACCCCCAUCUCCCUUCGCUGACUCUCUUUUCGGACUCAGCCCACCUGCACCCAGGUGAAAUAAACAGCCAUGUUGCUCACACAAAGCCUGUUUGGUGGUCUCUUCACAUGGACGCGCAUGAAACCUACGACUUGUUAUGCUUUGUCAUUGAAAGGUCCUGGCUGAUCUUGGUCAAGUCACCCACUCUUGCUGGCCUCACUUUUCCUCUUUUGUACCAUGAGCCCAGAGAGGACGAUCUCUGAGGCAUUUCUAUCUGCCUCCUCAUAGUUCUAAGUCUCCACUUUUAAUCUACAUUUCCAAUUAAGUGAGCAAUCUGUGAAUGAUUCAGAAGCAACAUUCUAAAGGAGUGGUUCUAACCCUGCCCUGCCCUAUUCUCCAGAAGGUAUCACACCAGUUGCCUCCUUUAAAUAUAAUUCUAUGGAAGUGUUUGCUUACUUGCGUGUUUCCUUCCCUGCCUUCCUCUUGUGCCUUCCAUUACAAUUAUCUUUUCCUCCCAGCCCCCACACUCAAUUGUAGCAAUCGCUCAUUUGCUGGGUAGACGUCUCUAGAGCACCUCUAGGUACAAAGCACAAGGCCCCCGUUUCUGACCAUCAGAGAAGGGAAAGUUAGUGACCAAAGGCGGAAAUGCAAGAUAGAAAGUUCAAAGGAAAACGAGGUCACACAGCAAAGAUUUCCUGGGGAAACAAACAGAAGGAGGAGGAAAGGAAGCUGACAGAAAUAGCCUCAGGACAUUUGCACAUGAAAGGCUCUGGAAGCCUAUCUAUGCUGCUCAGUCCCAGCUUUGGUUUCAUAAGAGGUAACUGGUAAAACUGAGAGGCUUGUAAAACCAGAUUUCAAAGCAUCUCUCUCUCCCUGCUUCUAAGAAACAAGCUUCUAGGCCUCCACACACAGAAACACUUUCCACAAGUCUUUGCCUUUUGGGGUUCAGAAGAGAAACAAGAUACAACAGGCCAUUUGGAAGGGAAGGGUAGCAGGAAAGAGGGGGACAACUAGUGGAAUAAUAACCAAUCAUCAUAAAUUAAUAUUGAGCCCUAAACAUGCAGACCUGCAUUUAGAGCACAAAACAAUUAGUUCCCACAUAGACUGAGUCUUUACAAAUAUUUAAGUUGGAAAGAGAGAAAAGAAACAAAUCCUCAUUUUGGUAUUUGCAGGAAAUACAUGAGUUUCAGCUUGGGAGGCAAUGGGGUGCUCUAGGGUGGGAAAUGAUGUCUUGAACAAUUAAGGUGCCUACUCCUGCCCUUUAUCCAAGCAGACUUCCUUCCCAUCCAUCCCGUAGCUAUCACUGGGGUGUCUACCCACUGUGUUCACUUCUGCAAACUUCUCUGACAGAAGAAAGGGGGACUUGCAGCUGGACGCUGCUCCCUGGCUCUUUGGAGUGGGUUCUUUUACAUUGUACUUCUCCACAGCAUGGACCAUAGAUUAAUUGCAGGCAUGACUCAGGGAGAGCUUGCUAAAGAAGCAGGGUCCUGGCCUCCACCCAAAACUUCUGACUCUGAAUCAGUGUCUAACAUUUCUUUAUUUAUGUACUUACUUAUCGGUUUUGUUCACUGCUAUAUCUUAAGCUCCUAGAAAAGUAUUGAGCAUGGUAGAUGCUCAAUAAUUAUGUACUGAAUAAAUGCAUGAAUUCACAUAUUACAUUCACUUGGCCACAGUGGUUGGCUUUAGGAAACACAAUCAGUAUGACACAAGAAGACCCAGUUCGAGGGCUCUUGUUGGGAAUGAGAGCCAUUCUUUUAUUUGCAGGGAUGGAUUAAAAAAACAGUGGGGUGAUUUUUGCCUGAGAAUAAAGUCAACAGAGAGAAAAGUGGAGCCAAGAGAUUGAGUGAGAAAGACUGGGUCCCGAUGACACUAAACUUCUAGAGCCAGCUGUGAUUUCCUUUGGGAUGAGAGGCAAUAAAUUCCUUUCUGCUGAAGCUGUGCUGACUGGGGUCUCCAUCACUCACUGAGACCUGCCAGGCUUCCUGGUGCUUCCCUGUCAGGAUCACACACUCAGGCUGAGUGACAGCUUUUCAGAGCAGACUUGAUGCCUUUUCGUGUUUCCUAUAUCUCUCCUUUUCCAACCUCCUGCUCUUGAGGGUCUUUAAUGUAGGGCAGGGCUUUCUAGGCAUGGUUACCAUUGUUAUGAUUAUUGUAAGAAACUUAUUUUUGAAAAUGACUUAAGAAUUUGCAAAUCAUUUUGUAUUUAUUACCUCAUUUGAUCCUCUCAAGGACCCAUAAAUCAGCAGUGGACGUGUAAUCCUCGUCCAGUUCAUUGAUGAGAAAAUGGACACUCGAGGAGAUAAAGGCUCCAGUCCUGGGGUCAGAUGACUCGUAUGCAGCAGGGUCUGACCUGGAUUCUCACCCAGGCCCUCUAAUCACAUAGCCCUUGCUUUUUCGCUUUGUCUUUAUGUCUCCUUUUCAAGAAAAAAAUAAUAGGCCUAAGAUUCAGUGAGUUUUCCCUAAUGAAUUUAUAGACUCGAGCCAUAAAGAACACUUGAGAUUCCUUGGACCUUGCAGGAAUGUUUCUGUGUCCCACUGUUGGAUUUUGUAAAUGGAGCAAGUCUCCAACAGGAUGAUACUCAGGCCAUGGCUGCUUUCUGGAGCUUCCAGAUACUUUAUGAUGAGAAAUUAGUUGAGUUCAUGUCAGUAGCAUCUUUGCAGCCCAUUUCCUGAUACAGAUGGUGUGGACUGAAACACAAGAGUGGGAUGGAAAUCCAUCCUGGUAGAGUUCAGCAGAUAAAUGACAUAUUUUAGAACUUGUGUCCAGACAACAUCCCAAGGUACAAGACACCAUUUUCCCUUCACCAAUACCUAAUGCUCACUGUUGAGAAGCCAGUGCAGACUUCAGCCUAGACACACACACACACACACACACACACACACACACACACAUUUAUAAUUUAUUUAUUGGGUGUUUUAAAACUGUACGCUCUAGGAAAUGACUAUGGAUGAAAGCCUAGAACUUAUAUACCAGUAAAAAACAAAUACAAAUAUGAUACUAAUUAAAACUAUAGCAAGAUAUAAAGUUCACCCAGAAAACAUCACCUUGUUGAGAAGAGACUGUUUAAAGAUACAAGUCAGAAUACAAAGGCUGGCACCUUGUCCUUAGUGAAUUAAAAAUUCCAGAGUCCUUCAUGGAUUUGAAACUUGCCAUUGGAAUUAUAAAUAUUGCCAUAUUGAUAGAUAUACCUUGACAGUUAUGAAUAGUAGCAGUAAUAAUAAUGAUGAUAAAUGUUAUCUGAAAUAAACAAUAGCUAAUACUUUAUUGUUAGCCAAGAACUCACUCUCCACGUAUCAUCUCAUUUGAUAGAACAGUCCUGAUGACAAUAUAGAGCUCAUCACAGGCAGUUCAGAAACAAUCCCAUGCAUUAUUAACGGAUGUCCCGAAGCAUCGGCUCUCAGAACAAGAGCGACUCAUUGAGUCCAGCUGGAUCAUUCUACAGAUGAUAACAAUAGUCAACAUUUGUUAAGCCAGGCCCAGUGCUACACAUUUUACAUUCAUUAUCUCAUUUAAUCCUCAUCCCCAGUUUGUUGGUCAGGAAACUGAGACUUAGCAAUGUUAAGCAAUUUAUGAUGGUUACUCAACUAGCAAAUGAGAGAGCCAGGCUGUGUGGUUGAAAGGUGUUAUCCUUGUGGCUCAAGAUACACUUCUAGUUCGGUCCUACACAACUUCAUGUUCUUUACUAGCAGAGCUAAGAUAUGACAAACUUUCUGCCUUGGAGCAAAGGGUCCAAAAGAAGACAAAUGAAAGAGAACCUAUACUAACUAGCCAUUUGCCCUUUGGAAAAUCAGCAUCCCCCAGCCUUGUCUUCUGCAAAACAAGACCCUUAGACUGAAUGCUCUCUAAAGAAUCAUUCAGCUCUAACAUUUGAUGAUACCAUAAAAUAUAUCAUGCGUGGUAAUAGGCAAGUGUGUUGGGAAGGGAAAUUUUGCUAUUUAA